GACGAACGCUGGCGGCGUGCCUAAUACAUGCAAGUUGAGCGCUGAAGGUUGGUACUUGUACCAACUGGAUGAGCAGCGAACGGGUGAGUAACGCGUGGGGAAUCUGCCUUUGAGCGGGGGACAACAUUUGGAAACGAAUGCUAAUACCGCAUAAAAACUUUAAACACAAGUUUUAAGUUUGAAAGAUGCAAUUGCAUCACUCAAAGAUGAUCCCGCGUUGUAUUAGCUAGUUGGUGAGGUAAAGGCUCACCAAGGCGAUGAUACAUAGCCGACCUGAGAGGGUGAUCGGCCACAUUGGGACUGAGACACGGCCCAAACUCCUACGGGAGGCAGCAGUAGGGAAUCUUCGGCAAUGGACGAAAGUCUGACCGAGCAACGCCGCGUGAGUGAAGAAGGUUUUCGGAUCGUAAAACUCUGUUGGUAGAGAAGAACGUUGGUGAGAGUGGAAAGCUCAUCAAGUGACGGUAACUACCCAGAAAGGGACGGCUAACUACGUGCCAGCAGCCGCGGUAAUACGUAGGUCCCGAGCGUUGUC
rnacentral:rRNA from 1 species